ACGGAGGGUGCAAGCGUUGUCCGGAUUUACUGGGUUUAAAGGGUACGUAGGCGGCCAAUUAAGUCAGUGGUGAAAUAUGUCGGCUCAACCGGCAAAGUGCCAUUGAUACUGGUUAGCUAGAGUGUUGUAUAGGUGGGCGGAAUUGAUGGUGUAGCGGUGAAAUGCAUAGAUACCAUCAAGAACACCAAUUGCGAAGGCAGCUCACUGGGCAACAACUGACGCUGAGGUACGAAAGCGUGGGGAGCGAACAGG
rnacentral:rRNA from 1 species